GAGUAUUUUACUGUCUCCUUUAACUAAUCAGUGAAACUGAUCUUUCAGUACAAAAGCUGAAAUAUACCCAUAAGACGAGAAGACCCCGUGGAGCUUAAAACUUUUAACAGAGUAUUUCAAAAAUAUACUUAUGAUAAAAAAUUUUUAGUUGGGGCGACUUUGGAGUAAAACUUAACCUCCAAGGAAAGGCAUUGCCUAACCCAGGCUAACAAGCCAAACCACAUAGACCCAGUAUAAUAUACUGACCAACGAACCAAGUUACCCCAGGGAUAACAGCGCUAUCUUCUUCAAGAGUUCAUAUCGACAAGAAGGUUUACGACCUCGAUGUUGGAUCAGGACACCCAAAUGGUGCAGCCGCUAUUAAAGGUUCGUUUGUUCAACGAUUAAUGUCCUACG
rnacentral:rRNA from 1 species